rnacentral:tRNA from 3 species
GGCCAGGUAGCUCAGUCGGUAGAGCAGAGGACUGAAAAUCCUUGUGUCGGGGGUUCAAUUCCCUCUCUGGCCACCA